rnacentral:rRNA from 1 species
UACGGAGGGUGCAAGCGUUAUCCGGAUUCACUGGGUUUAAAGGGUGCGUAGGUGGAUUAGUAAGUCAGUGGUGAAAUCUCCGGGCUUAACCCGGAAACUGCCAUUGAUACUAUUAGUCUUGAAUACCGUGGAGGUCAGCGGAAUAUGUCAUGUAGCGGUGAAAUGCGCAGAUAUCUGGAGGAACACCGGUGGCGAAGGCGGCAUCCUGGACCGACAUUGACGCUGAGGCGCGAAAGCCAGGGGAGCAAACGGG